UCCCUGCUGGCUCAGACUGUCAAGAGUCUGCCUUCAAUGCAGGAGAUCUGGGUUCGAUCCCUGGGUUGGGAA
rnacentral:tRNA from 1 species